rnacentral:rRNA from 1 species
UACGGAGGGUGCAAGCGUUACUCGGAAUUACUGGGCGUAAAGGGUGCGUAGGGGGUUUGUUAAGUCUGCUGUGAAAUCCCCGGGCUCAACCUGGGAAUGGCAGUGGAUACUGGCAAGCUAGAGUGCGGUAGAGGGUAGUGGAAUUCCCGGUGUAGCAGUGAAAUGCGUAGAGAUCGGGAGGAACACCAGUGGCGAAGGCGGCUACCUGGACCAGCACUGACACUGAAGCACGAAAGCGUGGGGAGCAAACAGG